rnacentral:tRNA from 1 species
GGAGGCGUCCGGGCACCUGGUGGGCUCCCCGGUCUUCAACACCGGUGAGGCCGAGUAUCUCGGCCUGGCGGGUUCGAUUCCCGUCCGUCUCCGCCA